GCUCUACCACUGAGCUAAAUCCCCAACCCUGGCUGGAAGUCUCUUAAACAGAGGCUGACUUCCAUACUUUGUAGGUCUGUUGCUUCCUUCUUUCCCCCUACUUGUCCUGUCUAGAUACCUGCCUCUGUGCCUGCCUGCCAUUUUUCUUCACAGAGCCUUCUGGGAAUAAAAAGCAUCCAUUUCCUAAAACCUGCUUCUGUUUUCCUUAACUAUGUCCCUCUAACUAUUCUUAAUACCCUGAGGUGGUUUGAAUAAUAAUGCCCCCGCCUCCCAGACUCAUACAUUUGAAAGCAUAAUCACUAGCAAAUGACACCAUUGAAAGGAUUAUAAGGAUUAGGAAGUGUGACCUUGUUGUAGGCCAUGUGUCACUAGGGGUGGGCUUUGAAGUUUCAAAAACCAACACCAGACCACUGGUGCUUAUAGAUCAGGAUAUAACUCUCAGGUUACUGUUCCAGUGCCUAUCUGCAGUGCUGUCAUGCUUGCUGCCGUGGUGAUAAUGGACUAAACCUCUGUAGCUAUAAGCAAGUUCUUAAUUAAAGGCUUUCUCUUAAAAGAGUUGCCUUGGUCAUGUUGUCUCUUCACAGCACUAUAGUUGCAGCAAAGUGACUAAGACAUAUCUGCCUCGGAGAUUGACACUGCUGUCGGAGGAAUGGAUGUUGACUGCUUUACUUACUUCCUGCUCAGAGGAAUGGCAUCUAGAGAUAAAUGUAGCCCUCACUCGUCAUAAAAGAAGCAUGUCUUUGCAGAAAACAGACAAUUUCAGAAAACUGCAACUAGUCAAAAUGCAGUGAAGAACUGAAUGUAGGUUUGCCCAAGCACCUCUGAAGUUCAUGAAACAUCAUAGAAGGAUGGAAAGUUUUAAACCAGAAUCCUUCUGUGCCAAGUCCUUGUACUUAAGAAGUCACUGGCAGCAACUUAGAGGUCUGCUGAAGUGUUUGCAAAUGCCUACGAUCCCAGCAUAUGCUCAGGAGGAGCUGGCUGGCCCGACAAGGUCCUAUUGCACUUUCCCAGGGCUCGGGUAUGCAUCUAAACUGUCUCUUAUGAGCAUGUUGGAAUCAGGAAAGUUAUGCACAUCAAUGUCCGUAAGGCUCAGAAUAUCUAAUGGAAAUAGUGCUUACAGGAAAGCAGAUGAGCUCUACGGUGAGUGGCUGCUUACUGCUACUGUCCUUGUCAGAAUAGACAUAAUAAUUUUGGAGAUGGGUCAUAGCUCUUGAGUGGAGUAUGGCCAUAUGUUUGAAGUGACCCAGGAUAUGUCUUUGAUUUAUUAUAAAAUAGUCACUGCCCAGUGAGCCGCAUGCGGCAGGUGAGGUCAAGGUCAGUUGCUUGGCUUUGUGGCGCUGUGCAACUGUCCUCACCCCAUACGUGGGAAGUGACUCAGGCCACUGUAGGAAGCAGUUAUUCAGAAAAAUACUUUUUGAUGACCUAAUUUUGGGCAGUUGAAAGUGCCACAUUAUUGCUGAAAUGAACUUUGGACAACAGAGUGACUUUCUGUCUGCUUUCAGUCCUCUUUUCCACACUCUACUUCUUUUGCUGCUGUACCAGCAAUGGUGAAGAAAGGUAAUAUUUGACCUUC